AUUCCAGUUCCAUCUGGAACUUUCAUCAGGAUCAGGCAUACAUUGUCAAGUAUAUAAAUGCACUUUUUUACUUGACAAUGUAUGCCUGAUCCUGCUGAAAGUUCCAGAUGGAACUG